AUUGAUUGAAACCAUAGAUGCAUGAACACUAGUAUAAGAAGUCGAGUAGUUGCAAUGCUUAAUAGGACUCGGUAAAAGUCGAGUGAUGGACUAUCACUCAUGAGUUAUAGGAGUUGUUUGCUUUCCUUUUGUUACAACUAUAAGGGCGAUGGACGGGGCAGGGCCUUAUGAACUGUUUUGGUGGUCGGUGGAUUGCCCUGUCUGUCUACAUGAAUUUGGACUAAGGUCGAGAUGUGAUAGUGUUCGUGAUCAAGUGUUUGAAAGUACUAAUCUCAUACCUAGUAUGGGAUGGGGAAGCCUAGUACCUGAUUGAACCGGGACGUGAGCGGAUCGUCCCACUGUCUCUGGAACGGAGUUCCCUUGCGGCCGCAUGUGGUGACAAGUGCGGUCAUACAACGGCCGAGGCCGGGUCUAUGGAGCCUUGUACCAAGGGAAGUGGGCCCGACACGGGUAUGGGAAUUGAUGGGGACGGCCGACAAAGGAAGCGACCCUUCAUGGUGCGCGGAUGUCGUGAGAUUAGGUUCGCCAUGCAUGGUAUUAAUAUUAAUGCUUGUCAUAAAUUGUUUGGAAACUAUGCUUGUUUAGUAUAGUUGCUAACUUAGACUGGUAAAUGAACAUAGAACUUGUGGCUAAAAUAUUGAAAAUAAGGACCUACUCUAGUCGUUUUUGGCACAAAAAAAAAACCCCGAGAGCCAACAAAAACUUGCUUGUCUAGGUGUUGGUGGAUUAGUACCACCGGGGGUCGGUUAAGUCUUGCUGAGCGUAGUCGCUCAGCCUUGUUGUGGCAUAUCUCUUUCAGGUGAUGUUGACGCCUAUGAGCUUGCUGCAAGUGGCACUUAGCCUCCCCAGCUUCCUCCUAGGUGGAUGGUCGAGUGGGAUCCUAUGACACCCAGUAUUAACAACAACUUAAGUAUGACAUCAAGAAGUAAUGGUGAAAUUAGGAUUAAAGGAAGGUAAUUUGAGCAAAAAUUGAAUUUGAGCCGAAUUCGACCAAAUUUGCAAUUUGAAGUUUCAAAUCUGGAUAAAUUUGGCAAAAAUAUGAAAUAGAGUCUUGAGAGUAUUCAAAACUCAAAGGAAUGAAUCUUGAAGUCUAAAUCAAGUCCUAAAGCUCUCAGAAAUGCAAUCGAAGAUGGAAUCAGCAAAGUCACUAUUCGUCGUCCGAAAACGUGCAAGUGUGAAAAUAAUGUUGAGUACAUAACUUUGGAGCCAAUUUCUGGAAAAAUUUUCUUGUAAGUGAGCAGAUAUUUUUGGACAUUAGUGAAAUAUGGACUAUGGAGAAGGUAAAUGAAAUGUUGUUGUCCAGAAAAAGUGGAAGGUUUAAAUUUAAAAUGAAGCCCAAAACCAGCAAAUGAGCAGAUUUCAGGCUUCUCGCUGAAAUUAUCCUAAGUCUGAAAAACAGCAUUGAUUAACAAUGUUUGGGGCCAAUUUCAGAAAAAUCCAGUGUGUAAGAGAUAGGUUAUUAUGUGCAAAAUGGAACCUUUGUUGUAUGUUGGACUAAGAUCAGUGGAAGUUGGGCAAGGUAAAGUGAGUUUGGGUAGUUGGAAUCGAAUCCAAAGUGGAGGAAAUGGCUCUGCCGAGAGGACUGACGAAACUGAAUCAUUCGAUUCAGUUACAGUCUCGGGUUGUCAGGAACUUUGGAGCUCGAAUUCACGGUCUUAGAGUGAUCCUUUCAAUGCGAAGCAAAAAUAACAAAUGGAGUACUUGGAUUACUCUACAAGUUUACUUAAAGGAGUUUUACGAGUUGAGAUAGAAAAUUUCGAGUAAGGGAGGCCUGAACAUGUCGGUUGGGAAGGGAUAAAAGGAGAAAAGGAAGAACAGAACAGAGAUGGCAGGAGCCGUGCCGCCGCUGGCACUUCUUCCCACCAGCCAGCGCGACAACCUCAUCCACGCCACGCACGCCCGUGAGCCGUCGAGGUGGCCUUCAUGCACGCGGUGAAUACUUGAAUAUAUACCGCUCCCACCUCAUCCGUUUACCCUGCCGCCAGUUUCACCGAAACGAGCAGAGCACGACAGUAGCACCGCCGCCGGCCGAUUCCACCGCGCCGCCGCUCCUCUCCUCGAUUCCUUCUGCCCGAAGCUCCGCUAGCACCUCACCGAGACCCCCACCCCUCCGUUUCCCCAGCUCCCCGCCGGCGAGCCCGAAUCGCCGCCGUUCCUGUCCGCUCGGCCGCUACCCCUGCUCCUCCAGUGAGCCCUCCGCGCUGCCCCUUCUCCACUCUUGUGCUCAGGUUUAGAGGCUCCUUAGGUCGCGUAGACGCCGUAGAACACCUCCGCCAGCCGCUUGCGUCGCCGCCGGACCUAGAAGCCGGCCGGCCUCCGGCCAUGGCCGCCGCCGCCCGUGGAGGGCCCAGCUCAGGCCACCUCCGGGUGGGCUAGCGCCACCCGCAGGUGCGCCGGGGCCUAGGGGUGCUCCCCGGCCCGGCCUUGUCGCCGGCACGGCUGCCGCCGGCGAGCCGCCGGCCUUGCCUGCCCCGGCGCCCUGUUUUGGCGUCGAGCAGGGGAGGUUUGGCCGGCUGGCCCACGCGCCACUGAGGAUAGGGUAGGGGGGCCAGUAGGAAAAAAAAAGUAGUCCAGGGGGUUUUUCGGAUAAGGUUGGAAAUUCAUAUUUUAAAAAUCGAUUAAAUUACCUGUUACACCUUUUAAUUCACCAAAAAUUCAGAGCAACACCCAAAAAUAAUGAAAUAAAUUUUAAUAGGUUUGUUUUUAUCUCUUUUAUGCAUUAAAAUUAUUAAAGGUUAUUAU
rnacentral:lncRNA from 1 species